UUUUAUUUAAAAUAAUGAAAAUGAGCUGAAAAUACAAAAACGCGCUGAGCUAGUGACAUUUUCAAGGGAAAAUCAGAAAAACCUGUCCAACUCAACACUUUUUUCCCUCCUGACCAAUAAAACGCGUCCAGGUCAACGCGUUCCCCCCCAACGGUCACUUUCAACUGCUAUUUUAAAUAGCCGUUGCCCCCCCAACGGUAAAAAAAAAAAAACUAUAACCCC
rnacentral:lncRNA from 1 species